rnacentral:rRNA from 1 species
GAUGAACGCUGGCGGCGUGCCUAAUACAUGCAAGUCGAGCGAACGGACGAGAAGCUUGCUUCUCUGAUGUUAGCGGCGGACGGGUGAGUAACACGUGGAUAACCUACCUAUAAGACUGGGAUAACUUCGGGAAACCGGAGCUAAUACCGGAUAAUAUUUUGAACCGCAUGGUUCAAAAGUAAAAGACGGUCUUGCUGUCACUUAUAGAUGGAUCCGCGCUGCAUUAGCUAGUUGGUAAGGUAACGGCUUACCAAGGCAACGAUGCAUAGCCGACCUGAGAGGGUGAUAGGCCACACGGGAACUGAGACACGGUCCAGACUCCUACGGGAGGCAGCAGUAGGGAAUCUUCCGCAAUGGGCGAAAGCCUGACGGAGCAACGCCGCGUGAGUGAUGAAGGUCUUCGGAUCGUAAAACUCUGUUAUUAGGGAAGAACAUAUGUGUAAGUAACUGUGCACAUCUUGACGGUACCUAAUCAGAAAGCCACGGCUAACUACGUG